UACGGAGGAUGCGAGCGCUAUCCGGAUUUAUUGGGUUUAAAGGGUGCGUAGGCGGGAUGCCAAGUCAGCGGUAAAAAUGCGGUGCUCAACGCCGUCGAGCCGUUGAAACUGGCGUUCUUGAGUGGGCGAGAAGUAUGCGGAAUGCGUGGUGUAGCGGUGAAAUGCAUAGAUAUCACGCAGAACUCCGAUUGCGAAGGCGGCAUACCGGCGCCCUACUGACGCUGAGGCACGAAAGCGUGGGUAUCGAACAGG
rnacentral:rRNA from 1 species